UGCUGUUUGUGCUUAGCGCUUUUAGGGGACAACUGGAGCUUCUGGAGGAGGAGCAAAGAGGUGGGAAGAGUACUGAAAAUGAAUGUGAUUCUCAAUGGAAGAGUUAGCUCUGGUUAGCCAAUGCUGUGAGACAGGGCGUUGAGACUUCCUGCAAAGCUUAUGGACUCCAAGCCCUGCAUUGCCCCUUCUUCCACACUGAUUCACCUGAUUUCCAAGUAUGCGUUGAUUCAGAGACUCCCUGGUCUCACGUUCAUUUCAUCAGCAUCUGGCAGGUAAUCACAGCAUUCUUUCCAGUAAAAAAAAAAGGUUUGGGCUCGGAUUCUGGGGAGCCAAGAUGGUGGAGUGAAAAGGUAGUCACACUCUCACUUUCCCCUGUAAACCUCUGAAAACCCAGAAAAUAUCACCCCAGAAAAAAAGCCCUGGAGCAGCUGAACUAGAAGAAAGACGAGGAGCAGCAGUGCAGCAGCCCAGCAAAUAGGUCUCCCAGUGCCUUAGCAAAAAUAAGGGAGGCAGAACUACAAGGGGCCCCAGGUGGAUAAGCACCCUGGGGCAUUUGUCUGAAAGGAGGUGAAGAAAGCAAUCUAAAGUCUUCCUAAAGCCCUGGCCUUGCUGGUUCCAGCCCAACACCAGGUGAGCUGUCAGAACCCUGCAGCCUCCAAUUGUGAAGAAAUCCUGAAGCCCAGGUGGUGGAACAGGCAAACACCAACACUCAGUGCCUCAGUGUGGGGGGGACCAGUGGAAACCAGCUCAGAAAACCACCAGGUGCUUCAGCAUGCUACCACAAAGGAAUUAGUAGAAAUGAGGGAGACAACACUGCAGGGGCCCCCACGCAGAUAAACACCUUGCACACUCAUCUAAAAGGAGCUGAAAAAAAUCUAAAAGAAAGGAAAAAUAGGCAACCUAGAAUUGCCUUAAAGUUCCAGCCUUGCUGAUUCCAGUCCAACACAAGGAAAGCUGCCAGAACCCUACAGCCUCCAAUUGCCAACAUAAGUGGCCCCAGCACACAAAGCCAGUGACCAAGACCUAGGCUCCCAACACAAGAAGCUUGGGUCAGUGCCUUCUGCCCCAGCAGGAGAGCUCAAUCUCUUUAAAGGCCAG
rnacentral:lncRNA from 1 species